rnacentral:misc_RNA from 1 species
CGCACAUUGCGCCCUUUGGCAUUCCGAGGGGCAUGCCCGUUCGAGCGUCAUUAAAUCUAAUCAAGCCCGGCUUGGUAUUGGGCGUCGGGGACUCCCCGUGCCCCAAUUUCGCCGGCUGGCCGUCGCCUGUCUUAGCGUUGUGACUUGUUAUUCGCUACCGACGGGACCGGACCACGCCGUUAAACCCCCCCGAAUUUCAAUCGGAAUUCGAUUAAGGUUGACCUCGGAUCGGGUAGGAAUACCCGCUGAACUUAA